rnacentral:rRNA from 1 species
AGUGGCGCACGGGUGCGUAACGCGUGGGAACCUGCCUUGAGGUUCGGAAUAACUCAGGGAAACUUGUGCUAAUACCGUAUAAUGUCUUCGGACCAAGAUUUAUCGCCUUUAGAUGGGCCCGCGUUGGAUUAGCUUGUUGGUGGGGUAAUGGCCUACCAAGGCGACGAUCCAUAGCUGGUCUGAGAGGAUGAUCAGCCACACUGGGACUGAGACACGGCCCAGACUCCUACGGGAGGCAGCAGUGGGGAAUAUUGGACAAUGGGCGAAAGCCUGAUCCAGCAAUGCCGCGUGAGUGAUGAAGGCCUUAGGGUUGUAAAGCUCUUUUACCAGGGAUGAUAAUGACAGUACCUGGAGAAUAAGCUCCGGCUAACUCCGUGCCAGCAGCCGCGGUAAUACGGAGGGAGCUAGCGUUGUUCGGAAUUACUGGGCGUAAAGCGCACGUAGGCGG